rnacentral:rRNA from 1 species
AAAGGCCUACGGGGCGCAGCAGUGGGGAAUAUUGCACAAUGGGGGAAACCCUGAUGCAGCGACGCCGCGUGAGGGAUGAAGGUUUUCGGAUCGUAAACCUCUGUCAGAAGGGAAGAAAGUGCGUGGUGCUAAUCAGCCGCGUAUUGACGGUACCUUCAAAGGAAGCACCGGCUAACUCCGUGCCAGCAGCCGCGGUAAUACGGAGGGUGCGAGCGUUAAUCGGAAUUACUGGGCGUAAAGCGCACGUAGGCUGUUGUGUAAGUCAGGGGUGAAAUCCCACGGCUCAACCGUGGAACUGCCCUUGA